rnacentral:rRNA from 1 species
CCUACGGGAGGCAGCAGUGAGGAAUAUUGGUCAAUGGACGAGAGUCUGAACCAGCCAAGUAGCGUGAAGGAUGACUGCCCUAUGGGUUGUAAACUUCUUUUAUAUGGGAAUAAAACGUUCCACGUGUGGGGUUUUGUAUGUACCGUAUGAAUAAGGAUCGGCUAACUCCGUGCCAGCAGCCGCGGUAAUACGGAGGGUCCGAGCGUUAUCCGGAUUUAUUGGGUUUAAAGGGAGCGUAGGUGGAUUGUUAAGUCAGUUGUGAAAUUUUCCGGCUCAACCGGAAAAUUGCAGUGGAAACUGGCAGUCUUGAGUACAGUAGAGGUGGGCGGAAUGCGUGGUGUAGCGGUGAAAUGCUUAGAUAUCACGAAGAACUCCGAUUGCGAAGGCAGCCUACUAAACUGCCACUGACAUUGAUGCUCGAAAGUGUGGGUAUCAAACAGGAUUAGAUACCCUAGUAGUC